GGAGAGAUGGCUGAGUGGGACUAAAGCGGCGGAUUGCUAAUCCGUUGUACAAUUUUUUUGUACCGAGGGUUCGAAUCCCUCUCUUUCCG
rnacentral:tRNA from 1 species